GAUAUGUGAAUACAUAGCAUAUCAGAAGGCACACCCGGAGAACUGAAACAUCUUAGUACCCGGAGGAAGAGAAAGAAAAUUCGAUUCCCUUAGUAGCGGCGAGCGAAACGGGAAGAGCCCAAACCAACAAGCUUGCUUGUUGGGGUUGUAGGACACUCUAUACGGAGUUACAAAGGACGACAUUAGACGAAUCAUCUGGAAAGAUGAAUCAAAGAAGGUAAUAAUCCUGUAGUCGAAAAUGUUGUCUCUCUUGAGUGGAUCCUGAGUACGACGGAGCACGUGAAAUUCCGUCGGAAUCUGGGAGGACCAUCUCCUAAGGCUAAAUACUCUCUAGUGACCGAUAGUGAACCAGUACCGUGAGGGAAAGGUGAAAAGCACCCCGGAAGGGGAGUGAAAUAGAACCUGAAACCGUGUGCUUACAAGUAGUCAGAGCCCGUUAAUGGGUGAUGGCGUGCCUUUUGUAGAAUGAACCGGCGAGUUACGAUUUGAUGCAAGGUUAAGCAGUAAAUGUGGAGCCGUAGCGAAAGCGAGUCUGAAUAGGGCGUUUAGUAUUUGGUCGUAGACCCGAAACCAGGUGAUCUACCCUUGGUCAGGUUGAAGUUCAGGUAACACUGAAUGGAGGACCGAACCGACUUACGUUGAAAAGUGAGCGGAUGAACUGAGGGUAGCGGAGAAAUUCCAAUCGAACCUGGAGAUAGCUGGUUCUCUCCGAAAUAGCUUUAGGGCUAGCCUCAAGUGAUGAUUAUUGGAGGUAGAGCACUGUUUGGACGAGGGGCCCCUCUCGGGUUACCGAAUUCAGACAAACUCCGAAUGCCAAUUAAUUUAACUUGGGAGUCAGAACAUGGGUGAUAAGGUCCGUGUUCGAAAGGGAAACAGCCCAGACCACCAGCUAAGGUCCCAAAAUAUAUGUUAAGUGGAAAAGGAUGUGGCGUUGCCCAGACAACUAGGAUGUUGGCUUAGAAGCAGCCAUCAUUUAAAGAGUGCGUAAUAGCUC
rnacentral:rRNA from 1 species